AGUGGAGGACGGGUUAGUAAUGUCUGGGAAACUGCCUGAUGGAGGGGGAUAACUACUGGAAAAGGUAGCUAAUACCGCAUACCAUCAGAUGUGCCCAGAUGGGAUUAGCUAGUUGGUGGGGUAACGGCUCACCCAGGCGACGAUCCCUAGCUGGUUUGAGAGGAUGACCCGGCACACUGGAACUUGGACACGGUCCAGACUCCUACGGGAGGCAGCCGUUGGGUAUAGUGCACAAUGGGCGCAAGCCUGAUGCAGCCAUGCCUCGUGUAUGAAGAAGGCCUUCGGGUUGUAAAGUACUUUCAGCGGGGAUGCGUUACCCGCAGAAGAAGCACCGGCUAACUCCGUGCCAGCCUCCGCUGUAAUAC
rnacentral:rRNA from 1 species